rnacentral:misc_RNA from 1 species
GAAAUGCGAUAAGUAGUGUGAAUUGCAGAAUUCAGUGAAUCAUCGAAUCUUUGAACGCACAUUGCGCCCUUUGGUAUUCCUUAGGGCAUGCCUGUUCGAGCGUCAUCUAAACCUUCAAGCCCUGCUUGGUGUUGGGUGCCUGUCCCGCCUCCGCGCGCGGACUCACCUCAAAUCCAUUGGCGGCCCCCGCGUCGGCCACGAGCGCAGCAGAAACGCGAACUCGUGAGCCCGUCCGGGCUGCUCCCAGAAGCUACACCCACCCAGUUUGACCUCGGAUCAGGUAGGGAUACCCGCUGAACUUAAGC